rnacentral:rRNA from 1 species
AGCGAACGCUGGCGGCAGGCCUAACACAUGCAAGUCGAACGAACCCUUCGGGGUUAGUGGCGGACGGGUGAGUAACACGUGGGAACGUGCCUUUAGGUUCGGCAUAACUCAGGGAAACUUGUGCUAAUACCGAAUGUGCCCUUCGGGGGAAAGAUUUAUCGCCUUUAGAGCGGCCCGCGUCUGAUUAGCUAGUUGGUGAGGUAAAGGCUCACCAAGGCUACGAUCAGUAGCUGGCCUGAGAGGAUGACCAGCCACAUUGGGACUGAGACACGGCCCAAACUCCUACGGGAGGCAGCAGUGGGGAAUCUUGCGCAAUGGGCGAAAGCCUGACGCAGCCAUGCCGCGUGGACGAUGAAGGUCUUAGGAUUGUAAAAUCCUUUCACCGGUGAAGAUAAUGACUGUAGCCGGAGAAGAAGCCCCGGCUAACUUCGUGCCAGCCGCCGCUGUAAUAC